CGUUCGUUCUCCUGAUGAUGAUGACGAUGAUGAUGAUGAUGAUGAUGAUCAUCCUCACCAUCAUCGUCAUCAUCAUCAUCAUCA
rnacentral:pre_miRNA from 1 species